UUCCGGUAUCAACAAUCACAGGGACUAUGUUUGAAGGUUUUGUUGUUACCAGACAGUAGGAGGAGGAGGAGUGUGAGGAAAAGAAAAGAAGGGAGCGAGGAAGAGCAAGAGGCUGAGAAAUCAGGGCUCAGACCCUUGAGAUACCUGAAGAAUGUCCUCCACUAGAAAGAGGUCAUUCAUUACUUGCUUAAUGCGUUGUAGAAAUCCUGCCUUCCCUGCAUGCCAGCCAGGCCAGACCUGUUCUAACUGGUAGAUUUCAUCUUGCAGAGAAUGUUCUGAAAAGCGUGUUUGUUUAUUCCAUUCGUUUGCCAGAGACUUACAGGGCCUCUGCUUGGUUCGCCUGGAUCUAGAAUGAUGGCUGACUCAGCCUGAGUCAUCCAGUUCUUUCACCUUUGUAGGUCAAGUCACAGAAGUGAAAUUGAACCCUGGAAAACAAUCCAGGUAGCUCUUUCUUCACAGUAUCCGUAUAAAGUGCUGAGGUUGAACCCAGGGAGAUGUGCCCUACCAGAAUUCUGCCAAGCCUGAAUUCAUUCCUGAAAAUUUCAAGGAAGAAUGGCGUCUUUCUCCGUUGCUGUCCUGUGUUCCACCUGUGGGAAUGCCCUUCCUGCCAUGACCCCUGCACUUCAGGAAGUACAACUGACUGGCAGCUUCCCUGGGCACUCCACUCUCCCUGAAGGACAUUGACAUCUUGUAAUAUCCAAUAGGCCAGAUAAGACCAUCAAAGAAUUGAAUGACUGCCUUGAUGUAAAGUCCAAGGUCCAGUCAAGUUUAGUGUUCUCCUUUAUAGUGAGACACCGCCUAUCAC
rnacentral:lncRNA from 1 species